rnacentral:rRNA from 1 species
ACCCGUUGAUCCUGCGGGAGGUUGCUGCUAUUGGGAUUCGACUAAGCCAUGCAAGUCAGGGGGUUCUUCGGAACCACCGGCAAAAUGCUCAGUAACACGUCGUUAAUCUGCCCUUAGGUCAGGGAUAACCUUGGGAAACUGAGGCUAAUACCUGAUAGAGGAACUCCGCUGGAAUGCGUUUUCCUUGAAACUCGUGCCUAAGGAUGAGACGGCGGCAGAUUAGGUCGUUGGAGAGGUAACGGCUCACCAAGCCGAAGAUCUGUACGGGCCUUGAGAGAGGUAGCCCGGAGAGGGGAACUGAGACACUGUCCCCAGCCCCACGGGGUGCAGCAGGCGCGAAACCUUUACAAUGCACGAAAGUGUGAUAAGGGGAUCCCAAGUGCUCAUGCAUUGCAUGGGCUUUUGCCAAGAGUAAAUAUCUUGGCGAAUAAGUGGUGGGUAAGACUGGUGCCAGCAGCCGCGGUAACACCAGCGCCACGAGUGGCAAUCAUAAUUAUUGGGCCUAAAGCGUCCGUAGCAGGUUUUGUAAAUCUUUUGUGAAAUCAUACAGCUCAACUGUACGGCUUGCAAGAGAGACUGCAAAACUAGGGACCGGGAGGAGUCAGAGGUAUUCCGGGGGGAGCGGUAAAAUGUGAUAAUCCCUGGAGGACCACCUGUGGCGAAGGCGUCUGACUAGAACGGAUCCGACUGUGAGGGACGAAAGCCAGGGGAGCGAACCGGAUUAGAUACCCGAGUAGUCCUGGCUGUAAACUCUGCGAGCUAGGUGUUGCGUGUUCUACGCGAGCAUGCAGUGUCGUAGCGAAGGCGUUAAGCUCGCCGCCUGGGAAGUAUGGUCGCAAGGCUGAAACUUAAAGGAAUUGGCGGGGGAGCACCACAAGGGGUGCGGCGUGCGGUUUAAUCUAACUCUACGCAGAAAAUCUCACCAGAAGCGACGGCAGGAUGAAAGUCAGUCUGAAGGGCUUACUUGACGAGCCGAGAGGUAGUGCAUGGCCGCCGUCAGCUCGUGCCGUAAGGUGUCCAGUUAAUUCUGGCAACGAGCGAGACCUGUAUCCACAAUUGCUAACGGCCUUUUAAGGGACUGAGCACAUUGUGGAGACUGCCUGGGUAACCAGGAGGAAGGUGCAGGCUACGGUAGGUCUGUAUGCUCCGAAUCUUCUGGGCUACACGCGCGCAACAACGGUACGGACAAUGGGCUGCAACCCUGAAAAGGGAAGCUAAUCCUCGAAACCGUAUCUAAGUCCAGAUUGAGGGCUGCAACUCGCCCUCAUGACGAUGGAAUCCCUAGUAAUCGGAAUUCAACACGUUCCGGUGAAUAUGUCCCUGCUCCUUGUACACACCGCCCGUCAAACCAACCGAGCAGGGUUUAGGUGAGGCUCAGUUUCUUGACUAAGUCGAACCUAAGCUCAGUGAGGUGGGUUAAGUCGUCACAAGGUA